GGAAUUUUGCGCAAUGGGCGAAAGCCUGACGCAGCAACGCCGCGUGAGUGAUGAAGGCCUUCGGGUCGUAAAGCUCUGUCAGAGGGGAAGAACCACCAGUCGGCCAAUAUCCGGCAGGCCUGACGGUACCCUCAACGGAAGCACCGGCUAACUCCGUGCCAGCAGCCGCGGUCAUACGGCGGGUGGGAGCGUUGUUCGGAAUUAUUGGGCGGAAAGCGCGUGUGGGCGGUCUGUUAAGUCUGAUGUGAAAGCCCCGGGCUCAACCCGGGAAGUGCAUUGGAAACUGGCAGACUUGAGUACGGGAGAGGGUAGUGGAAUUCCGAGUGUAGGGGUGAAAUCCGUAGAUAUUCGGAGGAACACCGGUGGCGAAGGCGGCUACCUGGACCGAUACUGACGCUGAGACGCGAAAGCGUGGGGAGCAAAC
rnacentral:rRNA from 1 species